rnacentral:rRNA from 1 species
UACAGAGGUCCCAAGCGUUGUUCGGAUUCACUGGACGUAAAGGGUGCGUAGGCGGUCGGGUAAGUCUGGCGUGAAAUCUCCAAGCCUAACUUGGAAACUGCGUUGGAUACUAUCCGGCUCGAGGAAUGGAGGGGAGACUGGAAUACUUGGUGUAGCAGUGAAAUGCGUAGAUAUCAAGUGGAACACCAGUGGCGAAGGCGAGUCUCUGGACAUUUCCUGACGCUGAGGCACGAAAGCCAGGGGAGCAAACGGG